UACGUAGGGCGCAAGCGUUGUCCGGAAUUAUUGGGCGUAAAGAGCGCGUAGGCGGUCCGAUAAGUCGGCUGUGAAAGUCAGGGGCUCAACCCUUGGAAGCCGGCCGAUACUGUCGGACUAGAGUCCGGAAGAGGUGAGUGGAAUUCCUGGUGUAGCGGUGAAAUGCGCAGAUAUCAGGAGGAACACCGAUGGCGAAGGCAGCUCACUGGGACGGUACUGACGCUGAGACGCGAAAGCGUGGGGAGCAAGCAGG
rnacentral:rRNA from 1 species